rnacentral:rRNA from 1 species
UACCUGCAGCUCGAGUGGUAACCGCUAUUAUUGGGCCUAAAGCGUCCGUAGCCGGUUUGGUAAAUAUCCGGGUAAAUCGUGAGGCUUAACUUCACGAAUUUCGGAUAGACUGCCAGACUUGGGAUCGGGGGAGGUCAGAGGUACUCCAGGGGUAGCGGUGAAAUGUUGUAAUCCUUGGAGGACCACCGGUAGCGAAGGCGUCUGACUAGAACGAGUCCGACGGUGAGGGACGAAGCCCUGGGGCGCAAACCGGAUUAGAUACCCGGGUAGUCCAGGGUGUAAACUAUGUGGGCUUUGUAUUGGAGGUCCCACGUGGGCGUCCAGUGCAGAAGAGAAGUUGUUAAGCCCACCGCCUGGGAAGUACGGUCGCAAGGCUGAAACUUAAAGGAAUUGGCGGGGGAGCACAGCAACGGGAGGAGCGUGCGGUUU